rnacentral:lncRNA from 1 species
CCAAACAAAAGGCUAGCUCAGAGAUAACGAAGCAUACGAGUUCAGAGAUGUACCGAUUUUAAGAAGACAACAUCAACCUCACGAAUCUGCUAAAUAACUUUGUGGAUCUAAUGGCUUAAAGUAUUCAACAUCAUCACAUCGAGCAUGUAAGCGGAAAAUAAAUUCAACUACAAAGUACUCAACAGUAUAAAUCAGAAGAUGGAAAUCUCAUCGGAGCUUUAAAGCUCUGACAAGAUUCCGGCGAGCAGGAUUACCUCAAGUAAGUGUUCGCCUCUGACCGUGUAAUAAUUUCCUUCACUCCUUCUUCAAGUCGCUUUCUUUUCUUCCCAAUCCUUUUGUGGUCUUGCUCGUUUGUGCGUGCUAGGGGUAUAGCUCAAACUUUGUUGAGUUUCAGAGUGAAACUUCAAUAAGUUUAGGAAAAAUUCUGAGCUUUAAAUGAUGUUUGAGAUGGUAUUUUUGCAGAGUAACGGUGCCAGCCAGGUCCUCCUCUCUUCAAUUAUUGGAAUCCUGAAUUUAUAGAGGUGAUGAUUUGGUGUACGUAUUGUGUGCUGGCAAGAUGCAGCGGAUCAUUCCGUUGGAAUCAAAUCUUUUCUUUAGAUUUUGGUGGGGACCAAAUAUGUGGUAGAUGGCAAGAUGCAGCGGAUCAUUCCGUUGGAAUCAAAUCUUUUCUUUAGAUUUUGGUGGGGACCAAAUAUGUGGUAGGAAACGAACUUGAUUGUGGUCCCAAAAAUCUCCAAAUGCGUGGCCGUCUUCACUGAAUCUUCCGUCAAGUUUUUACUGUUGUGAAACCUUCAAC